rnacentral:tRNA from 1 species
AGGGAUUUAGGUUAAAAAAACCCUUAGUUUUCAAAACUGGAAAUACUUGGAUGAGUAAUCCUUG